rnacentral:rRNA from 1 species
AUUGAACGCUGGCGGUAGGCCUAACACAUGCAAGUCGAACGCGAAAGUCCUUCGGGAUGAGUAGAGUGGCGGACGGGUGAGUAACGCGUAGGAAUCUAUCCUGUAGUGGGGGAUAACGUUUCGAAAGGAACGCUAAUACCGCAUACGCCCCAAGGGGGAAAGCGGGGGAUCUUCGGACCUCGUGCUAUAGGAGGAGCCUGCGUCGGAUUAGCUAGUUGGUGAGGUAAAGGCUCACCAAGGCGACGAUCCGUAGCUGGUCUGAGAGGAUGAUCAGCCACACCGGAACUGAGACACGGCCCAGACUCCUACGGGAGGCAGCAGUAGGGAAUAUUGGACAAUGGGGGGAACCCGUGAUCCAGCCAUGCCGCGUGAGGGAAGAAGGUCCUCUGGAUUGUAAACCUCUUUUGGCAGGAAACAAACCUGCGCUAUACGCGCAGCUGAGGGUACCUGCAGAAUAAGCACCGGCUAACUCCGUG